CCAGAAAACUCCUCCCAAGGCACAGCAGCCCCAAAACCCUUUCCCUUUUCCUGCUCUGAUCCAUGUUUUCCCUAAUUCCAGGUGUUUUUGGGAAGGAUCCUCACACCCCUUUCCCUUUUCCCUCCUCUGAUCCAUGUUUUCCAUAAUUCCAGGUGUUUUUUGGGAAGGAGGAGCGGUGGAUCCUCACACCUUUUUCCCUUUUCCCUCCUCUGAUCCAUAUUUUCCAUAAUUCCAGGUGUUUUUUGGGAAGGCAGGAGCUGUGGAUCCUCACACCCUCUCUCCCAUCUCUGAUCCCAUAUUUCCAUAAUUCCAGGUGUUUUUGGGAAGGAUCCUCACACCCCUUUCCCUUUUCCAUCUCUGAUCCAUGUUUUCCCUAAUUCCAGGUGUUUUUUGGGAAGGAUCCUCACACCUUUUCCCAUCUCUGAUCCAUGUUUUCCCUAAUUCCAGGUAUUUUUGGGAAGGAGCAGCCGUGGAUCCUCACAGUCUCUCUCCCAGCUCUGAUCCAUGUUUUCCGUAAUUCCAGGUGUUUUUUGGGAAGACAGGAGCCCAGCUCUGAUCCAGAUUUCCCCAAUUCCAGGUAUUUUUGGGAAGGAGCAGCUGUGGAUCCUCACACCUUUUCCCAUCUCUAAUCCCAUAUUUUCCCUAAUUCCAGGUGUUUUUUGGGAAGGAGCAGCCGUGGAUCCUCACACCUUUUCCCAUCUCUAAUCCCAUAUUUCCCUAAUUCCAGGUAUUUUUGGGAAGGAGCAGCCGUGGAUCCUCAAUCCCAUCUCUAAUCCCAUAUUUUCCCUAAUUCCAGGUGUUUUUUGGGAAGGAUCCUCACACCUUUUCCCCCUCUCAUCCAUAUUUUCCCUAAUUCCAGGUGUUUUUUGGGAAGGAGCAGCCGUGGAUCCUCAAUCCCCUUUCCCUUUUCCCAUCACUAAUCCCAGAUUUCCAUAAUUCCAGGUAUUUUUGGGAAGGAGCAGCCGUGGAUCCUCAAUCCCAUCACUAAUCCCAUAUUUCCAUAAUUCCAGGUAUUUUUGGGAAGGAUCCUCACACCUUUUCCCCCUCUCAUCCAUAUUUUCCCCAAUUCCAGGUGUUUUUGGGAAGGAGCAGCUGUGGAUCCUCACACCCUCUCUCCCUGCUCUAAUCCCAGAUUUCCCUAAUUCCAGGUGUUUUUUGGGAAGGAGCAGCCGUGGAUCCUCACACCUUUUCCCCCUCUCAUCCAUAUUUUCCCCAAUUCCAGGUAUUUUGGGGAAGGAGCAGCCGUGGAUCCUCAAUCCCCUUUCCCUUUUCCCAUCACUAAUCCCAGAUUUCCCUAAUUCCAGGUAUUUUUGGGAAGGAGCAGCCGUGGAUCCUCACACCUUUUCCCAUCUCUAAUCCCAUAUUUCCAUAAUUCCAGGUAUUUUUGGGAAGCAGCAGCCGUGGAUCCUCUCUCCCAUCUCUA